GGAUUAGAUACCCUGGUAGUCCACGCCCUAAACGAUGAGAACUAGCCGUUGGGGGUAUUAGAAACCUUUAGUGGCGCAGCUAACGCGAUAAGUUCUCCGCCUGGGGAGUACGGCCGCAAGGUUAAAACUCAAAGGAAUUGACGGGGGCCCGCACAAGCGGUGGAGCAUGUGGUUUAAUUCGACGCAACGCGCAGAACCUUACCAGCCCUUGACAUGGGGGUCGCGGAGACCGGAGACGGUUUCUUUCAGUUCGGCUGGACCCCACACAGGUGCUGCAUGGCCGUCGUCAGCUCGUGCUG
rnacentral:rRNA from 1 species